AUGAUCAAUCAAACUAAAAUAUACCUGCAAAACAAUGUUAGGAAAUUCUCGAUUUUUUAUUUUUUGAUUUGGUUUCUUUUCUUUUCUUUUUUCUUUUUUUUCACCCUUUUUUUUAUUUCUUUUCCUUCAAAUUUAUUUAUUUUUUAAUAGAACUCUACAUCAACAAACAAACACAUUCUAUAACUAAGGCCCAAACUAACAAUUGAG
rnacentral:lncRNA from 1 species